CCCAUACUUAGACACAUUUUCUCUCAAGUUCUCUCAAGAACCCUAAUCCAAAACCUUCCUCAAGAUUGAAGAGACUCUUGCUCCAAGUUCCAAGCUUCCAUUGAAGACACUCUCAAGACCUUCAUAAGAACUCAAGGGACCGGAGCUACUCUUGAUCCUUCUCUCCAUUCACGUGGCUAGUACGACGCUUAUCCGAGUUUGUUGGUGAGUCCUCAAUAAUUCGAGGGCUAUGUUAUGUUUCUUACUCCUAUGUUUUGAGACUUUAGCUUGCAAUUGUAUUUUAACUAUGAGGGGAGCCGGUAAUAUGUCAUGGCCCCCGUCCUAUCUAUGUAUGUAGAGGUGUGCGUUGGACAAGUAUUUUGUAAACGAGCUUGACUCUUAUUCUAUGA